rnacentral:rRNA from 1 species
CGCAGCUAUCUGCAGUCGUGGGGCAGCAUGACUGUAGCAAUACAGUUGAUGGCGACCGGCAAACGGGUGCGGAACACGUACAGAACCUUCCUUUUAGUGGAGAAUAGCCCGGGGAAACCCGGAUUAAUACUCCGUAACAUAAUGAAGUGGCAUCACUUUAUUAUUAUAGCAGCAAUGCGCUAGAUGAUGGCUGUGCGGCUGAUUAGGUAGUUGGCGGGGUAACGGCCCACCAAGCCUACGAUCAGUAACUGGUGUGAGAGCACGACCAGUCACACGGGCACUGAGACACGGGCCCGACUCCUACGGGAGGCAGCAGUAAGGAAUAUUGGGCAAUGGACGCAAGUCUGACCCAGCCAUGCCGCGUGGAGGAUGAAGGUCCUCUGGAUUGUAAACUUCUUUUAUCUGGGAAGAAAUCUAUUUUUUCUAAAGUAGUUGACGGUACCAGAUGAAUAAGCACCGGCUAACUCCGUGCCAGCAGCCGCGGUAAUACGGAGGGUGCAAGCGUUAUCCGGAUUCACUGGGUUUAAAGGGUGCGUAGGUGGGUUGGUAAGUCAGUGGUGAAAUCUCCAGGCUUAACUUGGAAACUGCCAUUGAUACUAUCAAUCUUGAAUACCGUGGAGAUGAGCGGAAUAUGUCAUGUAGCGGUGAAAUGCUUAGAUAUGACAUAGAACACCAAUUGCGAAGGCAGCUCGUUACACGAAUAUAGACACUGAUGCACGAAAGCGUGGGGAUCAAACAGGAUUAGAUACCCUGGUAGUCCACGCCCUAAACGAUGGAUACUCGACAUUUGCGAUAAACUGCAAGUGUCUGAGCGAAAGCAUUAAGUAUCCCACCUGGGAAAGUACGACCG